rnacentral:rRNA from 1 species
GAUGGACGUACCGCUGGUGCAUCAGUUGUUCCGCCAGGAGCAUGGCUGAGUAGCUACGUACGGACGGGAUAAGCGCUGAAAGCAUCUAAGCGUGAAGCCCCCCUCAAGAUGAGAUUUCCCAGUAUGUAAGACCCCUUGAAGACGACGAGGUAGAUAGGUUGGAGGUGGAAGUGCAGCAAUGCAUGGAGCUGACCAAUACUAAUCGGUCGAGGGCUUAUCCAAAUA